rnacentral:rRNA from 1 species
AUUGAACGCUGGCGGCAGGCCUAACACAUGCAAGUCGAGCGGAUGAAGGGAGCUUGCUCCUGGAUUCAGCGGCGGACGGGUGAGUAAUGCCUAGGAAUCUGCCUGGUCGUGGGGGAUAACGUCCGGAAACGGGCGCUAAUACCGCAUACGUCCUGAGGGAGAAAGUGGGGGAUCUUCGGACCUCACGCUAUCAGAUGAGCCUAGGUCGGAUUAGCUAGUUGGUGGGGUAAAGGCCUACCAAGGCGACGAUCCGUAACUGGUCUGAGAGGAUGAUCAGUCACACUGGAACUGAGACACGGUCCAGACUCCUACGGGAGGCAGCAGUGGGGAAUAUUGGGCAAUGGGCGAAAGCCUGACCCAGCCAUGCCGCGUGUGUGAAGAAGGUCCUCGGAUUGUAAAGCACUGUAAGUUGGGAGGAAGGGCAGUAAGUGAAUACCUUGCUGUUUUGACGGUACCAACAGAAUAAGCACCGGCUAACUUCGUG